rnacentral:rRNA from 1 species
UACGUAGGGGGCGAGCGUUGUCCGGAAUUACUGGGCGUAAAGCGCGCGCAGGCGGUCUUCCAAGUCAGUGGUGAAAACCCGGAGCUCAACUCCGGACCUGCAUCCGAAACUGCCCGACUAGAGGUAGGUAGGGGAGAUCGGAAUUCCUGGUGUAGCGGUGAAAUGCGCAGAUAUCAGGAGGAACACCGGUGGCGAAGGCGGAUCUCUGGGCCUUACCUGACGCUCAGGUGCGAAAGCUAGGGGAGCGAACAGG